CAGCAGCCGCGGUAAUACAGAGGGUGCAAGCGUUAAUCGGAAUUACUGGGCGUAAAGCGUGCGCAGGCGGUUAUAUAAGACAGAUGUGAAAUCCCCGGGCUCAACCUGGGACCUGCAUUUGUGACUGUAUAGCUAGAGUACGGUAGAGGGGGAUGGAAUUCCGCGUGUAGCAGUGAAAUGCGUAGAUAUGCGGAGGAACACCGAUGGCGAAGGCAAUCCCCUGGACCUGUACUGACGCUCAUGCACGAAAGCGUGGGGAGCAAACAGGAUUAGAUACCGCGUAGUCCCUGUCUCUUAUACC
rnacentral:rRNA from 1 species